UACAGAGGUCCCAAGCGUUGUUCGGAUUCACUGGGCGUAAAGGGUGCGUAGGCGGUGAGGUAAGUCGGAUGUGAAAGCUCCGAGCUCAACUCGGAAAUGGCAUUGGAAACUACCUUGCUCGAGGGUUUGAGGGGGGACUGGAAUACUUGGUGUAGCAGUGAAAUGCGUAGAUAUCAAGAAGAACACCAGUGGCGAAGGCGAGUCCCUGGAAAACUCCUGACACUGAGGCGCGAAAGCUAGGGGAGCAAACAGG
rnacentral:rRNA from 1 species